GUAGGGGGCAAGCGUUGUCCGGAUUUAUUGGGCGUAAAGAGCUCGUAGGCGGUUUGGUAAGUCUGGUGUGAAAUCUCCACGCUCAACGUGGAGGGGCCACCCGAUACUGCCAUGACUGGAGUCCGGUAGAGGAGUGUGGAAUUCCCGGUGUAGCGGUGAAAUGCGCAGAUAUCGGGAGGAACACCCGUAGCGAAGGCGGCACUCUGGGCCGGAACUGACGCUGAGGAGCGAAAGCGUGGGGAGCAAACAGGAUUAGAUACCCUGGUAGUCCACGCCGUAAACGUUGGGCACUAGGUGUGGGGCUCUAUCGACGGGUUCCGUGCCGAAGCUAACGCAUUAAGUGCCCCGCCUGGGGAGUACGGCCGCAAGGCUA
rnacentral:rRNA from 1 species